UCCUGCCCAGAAGGGCUUAAAACAGCCCUAGGAGAGGGCUGUGGCAGGGAAAGCAGCUACUAGGCUGAAUGGGGAAGCAGGGACGGCUGGGCCACACCCCAGUGAGGCUGGGAGCCAGAAGCUCAGCAGUCUCUCUCUGUGUUCGGGGAGAGAAGGAUCUGGCUGCAGGGAGGGUAAGCUGGUAUCUGGCGUGGAGCAGGGCUGGGGAAAGGCCAAAGGGGCCGCGGAGCUCUGGCCUAGGAAAGCCCCAGGCUGCAGGCCUGGUAAGGCCUAUUAGGUACUGGGUUAUAGGGGCAGCCCACGGGUAGCCAAAGGCAGCAAGUCUGACCCCCUUUGCCUGUGAUGAGCGGCUUAUACUGCAGUCUGCCCCAAUGAACGGGGGCCAGAUGGUGCCUGGGCAGUAGCCAAGACUGAGCUGAAGUGGAGAUAGUGGGUGAGGGUUCCCCUGGGGAGGGGAGACCCAGAACUGUGGGGGUACUGCCAGGGGGCAGCACCCAGUUAAAGGGGCACUGGGGUCCUGCGAGGGACAUGGGGGCCAAGCGGCAGCAGGACACCGACCGGCAGAGCGUGCUCUGUAGGCUGGAUGAGCUAAUUCCCACAGAGGACUAGCAGAAGGUGCCGCCAGGCUGGUUUUACGAGCUCUUAGCGAAGCAAGUCUGGCACCUUGGAUUGCAUUACAAUCUUCACAUCACGAUAUGGCUUCCGUGCAUGGGGCACUGCUUUACCAUCUAUCACUGCAACGUCAUCACACAGUGACAGUGCAAAGCCGGAAACAAGAUUUCAGGAUGGAUGGAAGCCCACCCAAUCCCACCUUCCCUGCAGCCAGAAUGAGUGGGAGCACACCUUUCCCUCUUUAAAGCACCAGUUCCCCUGAAACGAAGACUAAAACACCGAGACUGAGUAGGCAACCUAUGGCACGCAUGCCGAAGGCGGCACGCGAGCUGAAUUACAGUGGCACUCACACUGCCCGGGUCCUGGCCACCGACUAUCCUCUAUCUACCUAACAUUCCACCGUCCAUCACGUUAUCAGCUGAGCUUGUGCAGUACAGUAGAACCACUCAACAUUCCUAACCAUUGGGGAAGCCAGAACCAUGGUGUUAUCGGGCAUGCCAGGAGUGAGGCUAGUCCUUCACCUCCUAUUACCAGGUCCUCAAGGAAGAGUGCACUGAGUCUGGACAUAAGACAAAGGAACAGAGCAUUCAGCUGGGAAAACAUGACAACAAGAAAUCAACCGUGUCCUUAGAUGAAUUUGUUCGAUGUACUACAGCUCUAGCAGGGCACCUGGCCACAUGUCAUUGCCUCUACAACUUCCGAUCUACGUCCUUACCAGAGUUCACCCUUCCCAGUUCACACAGUCUUAUCGUCACUUUGUAGAGAAAAUUAAACAUUGCACAGAUUUCUAGAGCAAAAUCCUUAUUUCCAAGCACAUGCCAUUCCCCCACCCAGUUUCUCCGUUUUGUUUCCAGCACCACUGCCCAGCUGUGGAAAAUAGAUCAUGGUUGUGGUGACUCCUUACUCAGAGCGUGCUGAGUACAGUUGUUCUGCCCUUUCACACAAUAAGGAGACCAACCCUUCAAAGGCCCUGCUCCCAAAUCUUCAAUAACUAGUAACCAAAACAACCAAACUGUUCACCCUGAGACCCUUACUGAAUGGGGGAGGCAACCUAGUGACAGAUGAUGUGGAAAAAGCUAAUGUACUCAAUGCUUUUUCUGCUUCUGUCUUCACAAACAAGGUCAGCUCCCAGACUACUGCACUGGGCAGCACAGUAUGGGGAGGAGGUGAGCAGUCCUCAGUGUUGAAAGAACAGGUUAAGAACUAUUUAGAAAAGUUGGCCGUGCACAAGUCCAUGGGUCCAGAUAUAAUGCAUCUGUUAGGCCUGAAUAAAGAUGUAGCAGACAAAACCAGGUACGCCAACCUGACCAGAGUCAGGCUAACAAAGGUUUGUGGGUAAUCCCUAAGUAAAAAAGAACUGAAAAGCAGCAUAUCUCACGAAGCGCUGGGAAAAAGUAAAAUAAGCAAGGGGCUGCAUUCCUGGUAUAGUACCAACUGUGCUGUGUUAGGAGCAGUUCCUUUGAAGAACUGAUAAGAAAUCCCAGCCUCCCUGUUUUCACUCCUUGGUUCAGUUCUCUGUCUGUUUUAACUCCUCUACAUUCCUAACUUCUGGUGCUUGCUAAAAUAUUGUUAAUCACCUAAUGCUGUAAAACAUGUAUACUAAAAAUGUCUAGUUUCUAGUUGUUAAAAAAAGGGGGUGGGUUGCUCCAGUAAAUAAUUUAUAACGCAACAAAACUGUCUAUAUAGGCUUAUACUAAAAUGUAAAAAGCAGGCUGGUUCUCUCUAAAAAUGAGCUGCUCUCUAUUAAUACGUGCACUUGUCAA